rnacentral:rRNA from 1 species
AUUGGACGCUGGCGGAAUGCUUUACACAUGCAAGUCGAACGGCAGCACGGACUUCGGUCUGGUGGCGAGUGGCGAACGGGUGAGUAAUGUAUCGGAACGUGCCCAGUCGUGGGGGAUAACGUAGUGAAAAUUACGCUAAUACCGCAUACGUUCUAUGGAUGAAAGCGGGGGAUCGCAAGACCUCGCGCGAUUGGAGCGGCCGAUAUCAGAUUAGGUAGUUGGUGGGGUAAAGGCCCACCAAGCCAACGAUCUGUAGCUGGUCUGAGAGGACGACCAGCCACACUGGAACUGAGACACAGUCCAGACUCCUACGGGAGGCAGCAGUGGGGAAUUUUGGACAAUGGGCGAAAGCCUGAUCCAGCCAUUCCGCGUGCAGGAUGAAGGCCCUCGGGUUGUAAACUGCUUUUGUACAGAACGAAAAGGUUUCUACUAAUACUAGGAGCUCAUGACGGUACUGUAAGAAUAAGCACCGGCUAACUACGUGCCAGCCGCCGCAGUAA